rnacentral:rRNA from 1 species
UUACCCAAUCCCGACUCGGGGAGGUAGUGACAAUAAAUACUGAUACAGGGCUCUUUUGGGUCUUGUAAUUGGAAUGAGUACAAUUUAAAUCCCUUAACGAGGAACAAUUGGAGGGCAAGUCUGGUGCCAGCAGCCGCGGUAAUUCCAGCUCCAAUAGCGUAUAUUAAAGUUGUUGUGGUUAAAAAGCUCGUAGUUGAACCUUGGGCCUGGCUGGCCGGUCCGCCUCACCGCGUGUACUGGUCCGGCCGGGCCUUUCCCUCUGUGGAACCCCAUGCCCUUCACUGGGUGUGGCGGGGAAACAGGACUUUUACUUUGAAAAAAUUAGAGUGCUCCAGGCAGGCCUAUGCUCGAAUACAUUAGCAUGGAAUAAUAAAAUAGGACGUGUGGUUCUAUUUUGUUGGUUUCUAGGACCGCCGUAAUGAUUAAUAGGGACAGUCGGGGGCAUCAGUAUUCAAUUGUCAGAGGUGAAAUUCUUGGAUUUAUUGAAGACUAACUACUGCGAAAGCAUUUGCCAAGGAUGUUUUCAUUAAUCAGGAACGAAAGUUAGGGGAUCGAAGACGAUCAGAUACCGUCGUAGUCUUAACCAUAAACUAUGCCGACUAGGGAUCGGACGAUGUUAUUAUUUGACUCGUUCGGCACCUUACGAGAAAUCAAAGUGCUUGGGCUCCAGGGGGA